rnacentral:ribozyme from 13 species
UUUUUUUUUUUUUUUUUUUUUUUUUUUUUUUUUUUUUUUUUUGUGACUGCAAAUUCAUUAC